AUGGAGUUUGCACUUGGCUGGGUUUUCCUUGUUGCUCUUUUAAAAGGUGUCCAGUGUGAGGUGCAGCCUGUGGAGUCUGGGGGAGACCUGGUGAAGUCUGGGGGGUCGCUGAGACUCUCCUGUGCAGCCUCUGGAUUCACCUUCAGCAGCUACUACAUGUACUGGUUCCGCCAGGCUCCAGGGAAGGGGCUGCAGUGGGUCGCAUAUAUUAGCAGUAUUAGCAGUGAUGGAAGUAGCACAGGCUAUGCAGACUCUGUGAAGGGCCGAUUCACCAUCUCCAGAGACAACGGCAAGAACACGCUUUAUCUGCAGAUGAACAGCCUGAGAGCCGAGGACACGGCCGUGUAUUACUGUGCCCAGGAGCAGAUGCAGCUGGAUGAUAUGGCAG